CCAUCGAAUCUUCGAAACCCUUGAAGCUGGCGACCUAUCCCUAUCCGAUUGCAACCGCCUAUGCGACGCAGCCCGUUGACCAGAUCUACGGCCUCACGAAGGCAAUGAUCGUGAACUACGACAUGUACAAGGAUGCUGCGCCCGGUUCAUCCGGCCUCGAUGUCAAGAAGCAGACCAAGCAGUGGGUCAUCCCCUACCAUCCCGGCGCCGUGAAGGCCCUGAAGGAAGCCGGGCAAUGGACCGACGCGGAUGAAAAAUACAACAACGACCUGAUCAAGCGGCAGGGCGUUCUGGCGGAUGCAUGGAAAGCCUACAACACGGCAAGCGCA
rnacentral:misc_RNA from 1 species